GUCUAUGGCCAUGCCACUCUGAACAAGCCCAAUCCUGUCUGAUCUUGGAAACUAAGCAGGGUCGGGCCUGGUUAGUACUUGGAUGGGAGAUCACCUAGGAAGACCAGGUGCUGUAGGCU
rnacentral:rRNA from 1 species